GCACUACCCUUCCCUUCUUCCCCGACGUUGCAGACGAGGAGACGUUCGUCCUCUUGGAUAUCGUCGAAGAAAUCCGUCUUUUACCGGUUCUUCCGUAAACAGAUCGGAUGGAUAGAAUGUAUUCAGGCAAACGCAAGGCGAGUUCCUGCCUACCUACGUGGCUGCAUAUGCUAAUGUUCCCUCGUCCUCUUCACCGUAGCAGAAGCGGUUCACGGACCAGAUGUGCAACGUGAUGCAACAGUUGUAACUUCUGCUUCAGAACAGCAACGCGAUACUGCACGCUUUUCGUCGACCAUCUAUGUAUCUCGACAGUUACGAUAUCCGUCUUCCUCUACUCUCGCAAGGACGAUUUCAAAUAUGGACUGAUUUAACAUUCGCCGGAAGACAAAUCUAAUUAAAAAUACCUACGUAAAAUAUAACAUAUAAAUU